GUAGGUGAACCUGCGGAAGGAUCAUUAACAAGAAAAUUGGCUCGGGGGGUAACCCCCUUGCUUCUUUUUUUCCAACUCCACUAUUUAUCUGCGAACUCUGGGCUUUGCCCCCCUCCCUAUUUUUUAGACCAACGCCGGCAUUGAACUAACAAACGAUAAAAUUUCGACCGUAACAAAGUCGAUCUUAAUUCAAAAAAAUAAGAACAACUCUUAACAACGGAUAUCUUGGUUCUCGCAUCGAUGAAGAACG
rnacentral:misc_RNA from 1 species